rnacentral:lncRNA from 1 species
AGGCCAAUUGUCAAAGUGGGUCCACAUUUAACAACAAAUUGCUUAGGAAAAUGAUGUGAAUAAUUAAGCAGUUAAUGAGAGCAAUAUUUACUCGACAAGUGGCCCACGAAACUGAUAAUUAAGGCUUAAUUAAGGGAAUCACUUGAUUAGCCAUACAACCAAAGGGUCAAAUCUGUUUCCCUUUCCAACCUAUUGUCCUUCUUUUUCAUGUCUAAUUCACAUUUCAACCAUUGAUAUGUCUUCCCACCUUUCCCAAAGGGAAUUUUUUUUUUUAAUUUUUUUUUUUAUGUUUUGUUCUUGUUGCUUUUCACUCCAAU